GACGAACGCUGGCGGCGUGCCUAAUACAAGCCAGUAGUACGCAGUUGCGAACGGGUGAGUAACGCGUAGGUAACUGCCUAUUAUAAGGGGAUAACCAUUGGACACGAUAGCUAAUACCGCAUACUAGUCGAUGGACCUGCGGUGUAUUAGCUAGUAGGUAGGGUAAUGGCCUACCUAGGCAACGAUACAUAGCCGACCUGAGAGGGUGGCGGGCCAACGUGGGACUGGGAAACGGCCAAGACCACGACGGGAGGCAGCAGUAGGGAAUCUUCGGCAAUGGGGGGAACGCUGAACGAGCAAGGCCGCGGGAGGGAAGAAGGUUCUCGGAUGGUAAAGAGCGGUUGUGAAGGAAGCGGUAUUUAACCAGAAAGCCACGGCUAAUUACGUGCAAGCAGCCGCGGUAAUAC
rnacentral:rRNA from 1 species